UACAGAGGGGGCAAGCGUUGUUCGGAAUUACUGGGCGUAAAGGGCGCGUAGGCGGUCUGUUAAGUGUAGAGUGAAAGCUCCGGGCUCAACCCGGAAAUUGCUCUGCAUACUGGCAGACUUGAGGAUGGAAGAGGUUUGUGGAAUUCCUGGUGUAGCGGUGAAAUGCGUAGAUAUCAGGAGGAACACCCAUGGCGAAGGCAGCAAACUGGUCCAGUAUCUGACGCUGAGGCGCGAAAGCGUGGGUAGCAAACAGG
rnacentral:rRNA from 1 species